UGUUUACAUCCUCAAAUCCACCAGGUGCCAUUAACUGUACACUAGAAGUCACAUUAAUGAAUGAAAUUAAACCUCAAAUCUGUAAAUGCAUUAGGUUUCAUGACUUCAUUAGCCUCCCUUUUUUAACAUACUUCAGUGGAUCCAAUGAAGAUUAGUCCAGUGGUCAACUGGAGCAUGUUGCAAGUUGUCGUGGUAUUUAGGUUUUCCAUGGGUUUAUGGGCAUAAGAUUAUGUGCUUCUUUGAGUUAUCAAAGUUAUCCGAUCAUUUCUACUCCCCAUGCAUUGAAAUGACUGGUCUAUCCAAUAUUUCACUUACAUAAUAUUUAUGUUUGGAAAAAGGCCCCAGGGG
rnacentral:lncRNA from 1 species